rnacentral:lncRNA from 1 species
GAAGGAUGUGGUGCAGGGCCAUCUCCAGCAAGUCCAGCAAGAAGUUCAGGUCAAGACUCUGCAGAAGCAACAAGACACGUGUCAUAAGAAGCUGGAGGAUCUCCGCAGCUGGGUCAGACAGGCAGAAAGGGCACUGGAGAGGCACCGGGGCAGGGCCUCUCAACAAGAGCUUUCUGCUCUGCAGCAGAACCAAAGUGACUUGAAGGAUUUGCAAGGUGACAUUCAGAAUCACUCCACCUCAUUUGCCACUGCUGUCAAAGACAUUGAAGGGUUCCUAGAAGAGAACCAGAACAAGCUGAGCCCUCAGGAGCUGACAGCUCUUCGAGAAAAACUUUAUCAAGCAAAGGAGCAAUAUGAGGGUCUCCAGGAUCGCACACGGGAGGCUCAGAAGGAGC